CCUACGGGAGGCUGCAGUGGGGAAUAUUGGACAAUGGGCGAAAGCCUGAUCCAGCCAUGCCGCGUGUGUGAAGAAGGCCUUCGGGUUGUAAAGCACUUUCAGUGGGGAAGAAAGCCUUGGGGCUAAUACCCUCGAGGAAGGACAUCACCCACAGAAGAAGCACCGGCUAACUCCGUGCCAGCAGCCGCGGUAAUACGGAGGGUGCGAGCGUUAAUCGGAAUUACUGGGCGUAAAGCGCGCGUAGGCGGUCUGAUAAGCCGGUUGUGAAAGCCCCGGGCUCAACCUGGGAACGGCAUCCGGAACUGUCAGGCUAGAGUGCAGGAGAGGAAGGUAGAAUUCCCGGUGUAGCGGUGAAAUGCGUAGAGAUCGGGAGGAAUACCAGUGGCGAAGGCGGCCUUCUGGACUGACACUGACGCUGAGGUGCGAAAGCGUGGGUAGCAAACAGGAUUAGAUACCCCGGUAUC
rnacentral:rRNA from 1 species